rnacentral:tRNA from 1 species
CGCCUUGUAGUUCAGUGGACAGAGCAACUCGGUUCUAACGAGAAAGUCCUUGGUUCGAAUCCAAGCAAGGCGG